GGUUUGUAGCUCAGUGGUAAGCGCUCGCCUACCACGUGCGAGGCCCUGAGUUCAAUCCUCAGCACCA
rnacentral:tRNA from 1 species